UACUUUUUCUGCCAAAUUUGUUGUCUAAGAUGAUAUUUUGGUGCUUCAUUUGUAAAAUCAUAACCUAAUUUGAUGUUUAAUAGGCUUAUCCUUAAUGCCUCCUUAUUAUCCAACAUAUUCGCUUAUCCAAUAUUCUGCCAGCCUGUUUAUGUUGGAUAAGUGAGACUCUACUGUACUGUAUUUACAAAUUUACCACUACAAUAUCACAAUGAAUUUAAAACACUGACUACAAAAACAUUGAUUAUGAAAAGGCAGACUGCGUUGGAUAAUCCAGAACAUUAUAUAAGUGAAUGUUGGAUAAGUGAGAUUCUACUUUAAUAUGAAAUAAUUACUGGGAUAGAAUAAUGCAGAACAAUAUAAUCUCUAAAACCAGGACAGUAAAUAAACAGGGGAAUUCUACACAGGAAACAAUCAGGGCCAGCUAACACCUCCCAACAAAGUAUUCCCAUCAUCAAAGUCUGGCAAAUCCUCUGUUUUCUCAGGGCCACAGACAGUAGACGCACAUAAAAUAUUGCAAACAACACCACUCUGAAAACAAGGGAAUUCCAGACAGGAAAGAAUCAGGGCCAGCUAACACCUCCCAACAAAAAAUUCACUCAGGGAGGAAGCAGCCAGGCUUUAAAGCUGCAAGGCCAUUACAUCCUAAUCAUUUUUCCUAAUUGCAGCAUUCAUACUUGCCUCCAACAGACAAAAAAAAACCAAUCAGAAAUAUUGUAUAUUCACAACCUUUAGGAAAUAAUAUCCCCUGAUGGCGCAGCGUGUUAAAGCGCUGAGCUGCUGAACUUCUGGACCGAAAGGCUGCAGGUUUGAAUUGGGGGAGCGGAGAGAGCCCCCACUGUUAGCCCCAGCUUCUGCCAACCCAGAAGUUCAAAAACAUGCAAAUGUGAGUGCAUCAAUAGGUACUGCUCUGGCGGGAAGGUAACGCCGCUCCAUGUAGUCAUCCCACAUGACCUUGGAGGAGUCUAUGGACAACGCUGGCUCUUCGGCUUAGAAAUGGAGAUGAGCACCAACACUCUGAGUCAGACAUAACUGGACUUAAUGUCAGGGGAAAACGUUUACCCUUUACCUUAACUACCACCAGUUCCUCAAUACUUUAUUUCCCAUACCACCAUAUUUUGCCACAGCAACGCGUGGCCGGGCACAGCUAGUUAUUAUAUAAGACUCGAGGAGGGACAUUUGCAAAAGGAUGGCUGGUUUCGGAUUGGCAGCUUCUGCUCCUGCUGCAAACAGACCUUUUGCCAAUCUCCUACCAGGCAGGUGGAGAAGGCCGUUGAAAUCCUUUGGGGCCAAAGUACAGCAACUGAAAGCAGCAGAAGCCGCAGAAAAAGUGAUUCAAGGGGGAUAUUAACAAGCUGGAACAAGUUCAGAGGAAGACGACUAAAAUGAUCAAAGGUCUGGAGACCAUGAAUCCCUAUGGGGGGCAGCUUAAAGUGCUGGAAACCACAACACAAUUCCUGAAAAAAGACCUGAAGACCUUCCAUAUUUGAUGCAAAAAAAGAAAGUAAGCUGUUACAUUUGGUGUUGAAAGACCUUGGAAUUGUAUCCCUGCUCCAUAAGAAACUAAAAAGCUACAAGGACCAGGGUCUUUUUGGUAAAGACUACCAUGUCAUGGAAUUUAUGUGAAAGGUAACCCAAUUAAGCCAGCUUCUUGUCAUGUUUUAUAAGUUUAGCUGGAAAAGUUAUGUUCUUGGGAACAAUUUUGUGUUUUUUUAUUAUUGGAAAAGAAGCUAUAAUUGCAAAAAAUGUAAAGCAGCCUUUGUAUUAUAUAAAAAGAGAGAGUUUUUAUGUUACAACACCUAUUAAUAUAAAUAAUACUGGAUGAAUUAGAUUUGCAUUAUAUCUGUCAGGCAAUACAGUCUUAUCGUCUCAUAAAUGUGCAUUGCUGCUACACAUGCAAUGGAAGGCUUUAGGGAUUUUUCAAAAAUAAUCUCUAAAGCUUUCUUUCUAAUCACUUAUAUAGAGUACAUUUUGCAUAGCAAAUGCUUUUAGUGUUUACUUUUUGCUUCAGGGCCUUUUAUUUUUCAUGCAAUUCACUGCAUUUCCACCCCCACCACCCCACACAGCCCAAAUGUACUUAAGAAACCCAUAAGACUAAAUUACAUGAUUCCUAUUAUUCUUCUGAAAUGUGCAAGUUCAAGGACUGGUGGCUCUACAUGCUUUGCUUUGCUUUUCCCUCUGCAUCACUUUUUCCUUUAUACCAUGGUUGACUAGACUGUAAGCUUGUGUGCAAGGACUGACUUGCCUUUUUAUUUCCGUGUAGUUCUUAAAAAACUAUAGGCUCAUUAUGAGUGAAUUGCUAUAUUUUAAAAAGAAUUCAAUGGACUAAAUCAAAUUACUUUUUGAUUAUUUUAUCUUAAUAGCAUGUCCUUAAAUGUGAUUCAGUUGACUUGUUAGUCCAUCUAGAUCAGUGGUUCUCAACCUGUGGGUCCCUAGGUUUUGGCCUACAACUCCCAGAAAUCCCACCCAGUUUACCCGCUGUUAGGAUUUUUGGGAGUUGAAGGUCAAAACAUCUGGGGACCCACAAGUUGAGAACCACUGAUCUAGACUGAUGAGCCUGGUUUCUAUUCCCUGGGUCACUGGUGGCUGUACCAUUUCCUCCUACUGGGAUGUGAAGUGGUCAGAAAUCCACUAGUAGUUUCAAACCUUUUUAAAUGUUUAUUUUUAAAAAAACAGUUGUAAUGUCAGAACAGUAAAAACUGAGUACAGAAAGAAUGGGAUUCUCUUGCAGCCAAUUCUACUGUAGUUUUGUGUGCCCUGCUUACAACAGGCAGGUGAACAGCAGUUGCCUUCAGAAUCCCUUACUGAGCAUGUUUUGAACAACAAAUACAAAGAAAAUGGGAGAUCAACCUACCUCAUCUGACAUUGUUAUUUCAUUUCAAAUGUGCAUAUUUGUUAGUUUAGAACAAAAGCUGGAUUUUUCCCCUGAAGUAUAAACUUUUUUGUUGUUGUACAGGAAUCUAUCCCUAUUGUUUCCCUUUUAUUACUCCUCUGGUAUCAAAGUUCCUGUUAAAGAAGUAAUGUGCAAGAACACAGCUACUGUGGUAACUGAGAUCCCAUUUUCUGACACAAACUAAAGUUGAAUAUGCAGUAUUCCUAGUUAACCAACUGCCUGUUUUUUGAAACAAUGAAGAAGUCAGACUUCAGUAAACUGGAUUUGGCUCUCAUUUUGAAAGAGAAUGGAUCAAGCUUCAACUCUGUGUCAGGGGAAACGGAACCGUAUUCACUGCUGCUACUUGUAUCUUCUACAAGAACAGGCACAGGCAAAGAUAUGCUGCGAAGAUACUCUGGUUAGGAAAAGAGGAGAAAACCAGAAGGUGAGUAAAAGCAAGCUUUUUAUGAAUAGUAAAUGAUAAUAAACACAGACCAUGGCCUGUCCCCACUAGAAUGCCAUGUGUACCUUGAGAAGGGAUAUACAGUAGGUCCCCCUCAUUUGCUGUGGUUAGGGUCACAAAAGCAGGAUAGCAAAUGAAAAAUGAUUUUAACCUGGCAGAACACCUCUUUAGGAAUCUCUAGGUCCUAUGGUCAAUUUACACCAGAACAUGACCACAGAAUUGUGCUGGAGGACCUACAAAUACCUAGAGAGGUCUUCCCUCAGGAAAUCACUAGGUCCUCCAAAAGAACUUGAUGGUCAACCUGUAGGUUGACCAUAGAAUCACACUGGAGGAUCUAAGAUACCUACAGACAACAUAUUAAUCAAAUUUGUGAAUAAUUAUAUCCACAAAUGAUAAUCCCACAAAUGCGGAGGGCUGACUAUAAUUCUUUCAUGUAUGAUUCUGGCAGCAUCUAAGGGAAACUGGAUGAAGCGUAGGGAAGGGAUUGAGCCCCAUGGAAAUCCCCUGUUGGAUGCACUAUUCUAGAGGAUGCAAUGACAUGAGUGGUGGAUUAUAGUCAUUGUGCUUCUGAUAGAAUCUGCUAUUCUGCAAAGCAGAGUAUGAAUAUUUUAUCUUCCUGUAUAAUUAGGCAUAACUUGCACAUAAAAAGUAAUCUCUGGAGAAUUAUUUGAAAAAUUAAUGGAAGACAACAUAUUCAGUCAAACCAAAGCAUGCUUGAUUUCAAGGUAAGCUUCACUGAUUUAACUGUUUAAAGGUGCUUUCUCCCCGGAGAAGCCCUGUCAGGUUUGAGAUGCUCUCAAGCAAACAGAUUUCUGAAGAAGGGCUCCCUAUGAAUACUUGACCUGCUAGACUGCAUGCCCUGGUUGUUGUGACUUGCUCUCCCUCUUUUCCUAGUUCAUUGGCAAAGGGUGGCAGCAACUGGUUGGGUGAGCUUGCAGCCACAUGCUAUUUUAAAUCAUUUAAUGACUUUUAAGUAGCAGAGAAUGGACCUAAUCACGCACUGCCUUUGGGAGUGAAGAAUCACUAAUGAAACCACAAAGAAAAUGAGUGGUUGUCCUGCUUCUCUCAUUGGCUAUGCAUCCAUAAAGACAGCGUCUAAUAGCACCGACUUGCUGCUGCUGAGAAUAUUUUAAGUUAAAAUAGUAUGUGGCUUUAUCCCAAAUACCUGGCUGUUGCCAACACUAUAAUUAAAGCAAUGACCAUUCAACUUUCUUUUACAAGAAGCACAACAUCGCUGCCUGUUGGGAUGUGUGUGUGUUGGACCACACAGGCAUGGUCUAUACCCUGUGGCCCUGCCUUAGCAUUGCCACUUCUAAGGAACAUUCAAGACCUGUAAUAUCUUUGGCUCCUGUUAACUCAUUUAAAAUUGUAAUUGUGGUAGCUUCUGGUUAUAUAAACAGUCUGAUGUUCUGAAUAUGUAAAGGGUUCACAAGGUUAAGAGGAGAAAGAGGUAAAUAAAUAUUCAUCUCACCAUUUGAUCCAACUGAGAGUGCUGGAGAAAAGCAGAAGAGAAAAAAAAACCAAAAUGUAUUAAAUGUAUCUUAGGUGCAAUACAACUGCAAAGGCCUCUUGAUCAGAUUCUACAUAGCACACAGCUGCAUUCUGAGUGGAUUUUAAAACAUGUUUUAAAGAUAUUCUGUACACACAUAUAGGCCCCAGUCCAGCCUGUCAUGACUAAUUUCCAUCAGACAAAAAGUAAAGUAAUUCCCACUGCUUUCUAAACAAUAUGUUUUAAGCAAUAUUUUCUAAACAAUAUUUACAAAGCCGUUUGGAACAACAUAAAUACAAACCAAUAGCAGACAGCCAUAACUGAUUACACUACUGAGCUCUAUGUGACAGAGCUGUCAGCCCAUUGCAUUAAUCAGAAUUGUAAUGAUUGUAAGCUUGCACAUCUAGGCCAUGUUUUUCCUUUACCUGCUAGCUUUGCUUGAGACUUCCUCUUCUUGCUUGUGACCUUUAAGAAGUCAUCGACAAGAAGUUCAUUUGCACAGACUCUCUUGUUUGGAUCGGGUUCAAAGCAACACAAGAGGAAGGCUUUUGCCUCAGCUGACAUGGAUUCAGGGAUCUCAGGAUGUAUUUUGAACAUGCCAACCUGAUGCAAAAGAAAAAGAAAAAAAAUUGAGACCACUUUUCAUCAGAGAAGUAUUGUUGUGACUGCGCCUUCGGGGAUUAUGGUUGAUGGGGAUGGAAUUCGAAGAGGAAGAAAAAACCCUCGUGAUGAGGGUUCACUGGAGGAGUUGCGCAGGAAGCGACUUAGAGAGCUAUAUGGGGGAUCUUCUGAGGAAGAUUCAGAUGGGGAGAUGGAGGCUGAGGAACAGGUGGUGGCUGGGGAAGCGGGCACUGAAUGGGCACAGCCACCGGAGAUGUCUGGGGAUUUGGGGUCUAUGGAUACUUCUGAACCUGGGGUUUCUGCAGGAGCUGAUCCCAAUUGGGAUGCUUGGAGAAGGGAGGAUGGUUCUUUAAGUGUUCAUGGGGCUAAGUGUGGGCAGGAUGAUUGGGACUCCGACGAAUUGCUAGGUACUCCAGAUCCACGAGCUCUAGCUGUGUGGAGCUCAGAUUCUGAGUAGAUUUGGGACAUCUGGUGUUUGGGUGUGAGUGUUUGGUCACCAGGAGGAAGGGGAAUAAAAUGGGAAUGUUUGGCCACUGCACUUUGCGUGUGGCAAGGUGUUGCUGAGGCGCCAUUGGGAUCUCUGUGUUUCCAUGAAGACUGGACUUGGACUAUGAUUUGAAUCUGCUGUUAUCACCUAGCUUGGCUCUCGCUGUGUCUUAUCGUGGACCUGUUUUGGAUGACUGCACCCUCUUCAGACCUUGGAUCGGAAUUUGACCUUGCUACUGCCUUCACCCUGUGAUUGAUGACUACUAUCGGCUUUUGACUCCUGGCUUGCUCUUUGGACACCGCUGUUAUCUCCUGACCUGACCUUGGAAUCCCGGACGACGUCUUUUCACCAUCCUUUUGGAGCCUUCGGCUUUAUCCACAUUGUGGAAGCAGUCUACUGCAUUCUUAGUUUGUUUGUUUGUUUCCUGGCCAAUUUGGUGUUUUCUUUUGGGAACUGUUCCUUUGAAAACUACAGAGCCGGCUGGCAGGG